AGAGUUUGAUCCUGGCUCAGGAUGAACGCUGGCGGUAUGCCUUACACAUGCAAGUCGUACGAAAGUUUUUAACUUUAGUGGCGGACGGGUGAGUAACACGUGAGAAUUUACCUUUAGGAGGGGAAUAACAGUUGGAAACGACUGCUAAUGCCGCAUAUAAUUAGUAAUAAUGAAAGAAGUAAUUCGCCUAAAGAAAAGCUUGCGUCUGAUUAGCUAGUUGGUAAGGGUAAUGGCCUACCAAGGCGACGAUCAGUAGCUGGUUUGAGAGGAUGAUCAGUCACACUGGAACUGAGACACGGNGCAGUGGGGAAUUUUCUGCAAUGGGCGAAAGCCUGACAGAGCAAUACCGCGUGAGGGAAGAAAGCCCACAGGGUUGUAAACCUCUUUUGUCAAGGAAGAAGUUCUGACGUUACUUGACGAAUAAGCAUCGGCUAACUCCGUGCCAGCAGCCGCGGUAAGACGGAGGAUGCGAGUGUUAUCCGGAAUCACUGGGCGUAAAGCGUUUGUAGGUUGUUUGGUAAGUCUGUUGUUAAAUCUUGAAGCUCAACUUCAAAACUGUAAUAGAAACUACUAGACUUGAGGAUAGUAGGGGUAAAGGGAAUUUCCAGUGGAGCGGUGAAAUGCGUAGAGAUUGGAAGGACCACCGAUGGCGAAGGCACUUUACUGGGCUAUUUCUGACACUAAGAAACGAAAGCUAGGGUAGCGAAUGGGAUUAGAUACCCCAGUAGUCCUAGCUGUAAACGAUGGAUACUAGAUGUUGUGUGUAUCGAUCCAUGCAGUAUCGUAGCUAACGCGUUAAGUAUCCCGCCUGGGAACUAUGCUCGCAAGAGUG
rnacentral:rRNA from 1 species